UACGUAGGGGGCUAGCGUUGUCCGGAAUCAUUGGGCGUAAAGCGCGCGUAGGCGGCCCAGUAAGUCCGUUGUAAAAGUCAAAGGCUCAACCUUUGAAAGCCGAUGGAUACUGCUGGGCUAGAGUCCGGAAGAGGCGAGUGGAGUUCCUGGUGUAGCGGUGGAAUGCGCAGAUAUCAGGAGGAACACCGAUAGCGAAGGCAGCUCGCUGGGACGGUACUGACGCUGAGGCGCGAAAGCGUGGGGAGCGAACAGG
rnacentral:rRNA from 1 species